rnacentral:tRNA from 1 species
GCAUUGGUGGUUCAGUGGUAGAAUUCUUGCCUUCCAUGCAGGAGACCCAGGUUAGUUAUGCAGGAGACCCAGGUUCAAUUCCCAGCCAAUGUA